rnacentral:tRNA from 1 species
GGGAUUGUAGCUCAGAGGUAGAGCACUUGCCUAGCAUGUACAAGGCCCUGGGUUCAAUCCCCAGCAUCCCCC